rnacentral:rRNA from 1 species
UACGAAGGAUCCAAGCGUUGUCCGGAUUUACUGGGUUUAAAGGGUGCGUAGGCGGACUUUUUAAGUCAGUGGUGAAAGCUCGCAGCUUAACUGUGAAAUUGCCAUUGAAACUGAAAGUCUCGAGUGUGGUUGAGGUAACUUGGAAUAUAUCAUGUAGCGGUGAAAUGCUUAGAUAUGAUAUAGAACACCAAUUUGCGAAGGCAGGUUACUGAGCCACAACUGACGCUGAGGCACGAAAAGCGUGGGGAUCAAACAGG